rnacentral:rRNA from 1 species
GGUUAAGCGACUAGCGUACACGGUGGAUGUACACGGCAGUCAGGAAGGGCGAUGAAAGGGCAUUGUCUGCGAUAGCGCCGGUAGGUAUUAUAGAACCGUUACCGGCGGCGAUGCGAAUGGGGAAACCCAGUGUGAUUCGUCACACUAUCGUAACUGAAUCCAUAGGUUAAUGGGCGAACCUAAAUUUCGGCAUCUAAAAGUACCCCGAGGAAAAAGAAAUCAACCGAAUUCCCCCAGUAGCUUGCCGAGCGAACGGGGAAGAGCGAGCCUGAAUCACAGCAUGUGUUAGUGGGAAGCGUCUGGAAAGGCGCGCGAUACAGGGUGACAGCCCCGUACACAAAAAGCGCAUGUGCUGUGAGCUCGAUGGUAGGGCGGACUGUGUUAUCCUGAUAUCUGAAUAUGGGGGUUGCUCCUCCAAGGCUAAAUACUCCUGACUGACCGAUAGUGAACUGGUACCGUGAGGGAAAGGCGAAAAGAACAGCGAGGGUAGAAAAAGAACCUGAAACCGUGGCGCGCUACAAGCAGUAGGGGCCCCACCACUAGCGUUUAACAUGGUGCACAAAAGCAUAACGGCACUGAAUGACGGCGGAGCGCAAGCGGCGUUCAACAUACAAGUCAAGCAGUAGGCGCGCUGGUGGGGUGACUGCGUACCUUUGUAUAAUAGAUUAAGCGACUUUAUAGUACCACCUUGUAGCAAGAGUUGUUAACCGAAUAUAAACGAGGGGAGCGGCGGAGGAAACCGGAGAUGUAGUGGGCGUUAAGUUGCGGUAUAGACCGAAACCCGGUGAUCUAACCAUGGAGCAGGUUGAAGGUUGGGUAACACUAACUGGAGGACCGAACCGACUAAUGUUGAAAAAUUGGCGGAACGACCUGUGGCGCAGAGGUGAAAGGCCCGUCAAACCGGGGAGGCAACUGGUUCUCCCGAAAGCUAUUUAGGUAGCACCUCAUAGUAGAAUUUAUCAGGGGUGACAGCUGAGGCCAUCCGGCUUACCAACGAUACGAAAGCUGCGAAUACCGGAGAAUAUUUAUCACGGGAGACACGGCGGGUGCUAACGUCGUCGUGAAAGAGGAAACAGCGGAGCCGCGAAGCUAAGGUCCCAAAGUCAUGGUUAGUAGGAAACGACAUGGGAAGGCGGAGCAGCAAGGAUGUUGGCUUAGAAGCAGCCAUCAUUUAAAAGCGUAAUAGCUCACUGGUGAAGUCGGCUACUGCGCGGAAGAUGCUUAACGAGGCUAAACCAUGCACCGAAGCUGCGGCAGCGACAUAUGCGUUGUUGGGUAAGGGAAGCGUUCUGUGAAAGCCUGUGAGUGGCCUGGCGAGAUUUGCUGGAAGUAUCCAGAAGUGCGAAUAACUGACGCAAAGCCAACGAUAAAGCGGGUAGAAACCCGCUCGCCGGAAGAACCAGGGUUCCUGUCCAACGUUAAUCGGGGCAGGAGUCGACCUAAGGCGAGCCGAAGAGUCGAUGAAACGAGGUUAAUAUUCCCGUACUUGGUGUUACUGCGAAGGGGGACGGAGGAAGGCUAUGUGGCCGGGCGACGGUUGUCCCGGUUUUAAGCGAUGUAGGUGUGUUCGGGUAAAUCCGGUUCACUAACACUGAGGCGUGACGACGAACUCACGGUGCUGAAGCAGCAAAUGCCCUGCUUCGGGGAAAACCUCUAAGCAUCAGGUAACAUCAAAUCGUACCCCAAACCGACACAGGUGGUCAGGUAGGAAAUACCAGAGCGCUUGAGAGAACUCGGGUGAAGGAACUAGGCAAAAUGGUGCCGCCCGCUUCGGGAGAAAGGCACGCUGACACGUAGGUGAAAGUGAUUUACUCAUGGAGCUGAAGUCAGUCGAAGAUACCAACUGGCUGCAACUGUUUAUUAAAAACACAGCACUGUGCAAGCUUACGAAAGUGGACGUAUACGGUGUUAACGACGCCUGCCAGUGCCGGAAGGUUAGUGAUAGGUCAGCGCAAGCGAAGCUCCCUGAUCCGAAGCCCCGGUAAACGGCGGCGUAACUAUAACAGUCCUAAGGUAGCGAAAUUCCUUGUCGGGUAAGUUCCGACCUGCACGAAUGUAAUGAUGGCGGGCUGUCUCCCGCGAGACUCAGUGAGGUGAACUCGCUGUGAAGAUGCGAUUAUUACCCGCGGCAAGACGGAAGAACCCGUGAACCUUUACUAUAGCUUGACACUGAACGUGAGCCUUGAUGUGUAGGAUAGGUGGGAGAAGCUUUUGAAGCGUGGACGCCGGUCUGCGUGGGCCGACGCGAAAUACCACCCUUUAAUGUUUGAUGUUCUAACGUGGACCCGUAAUCCGGGUUGCGGACGGUGUCUGGUGGGUAGUUUUGACUGGGGCGGUCUCCUCCUAAAAGAGUAACGGAGGAGCACGAAGGUUGGCUAAUCACGGUCGGACAUCAGGAGGUUAGUGCAAUGGCAUAAGCCAGCUUGACUGCGAAGGCGACGUGACGGCGCGAGCGGUGCAGCAGGUCAUGUAGUGAUCCGGUGGUUCUGAAUGGAAGGCCAUCGCUCAACGGAUAAAAGGUACUCCGAAGGGAUAACAGGCUGAUACCGCCCAAGAGUUCACUUAUCGACGGCGGUGUUUGCUUACGAUGUCGCUCAUGCAUCACGGGGCUGAAGUAGGUCCCAAGGGUAUGGCUGUUCGCCAUUUAAGUGGUACGCGAGCUGGGUUUAGAAACGUCGUGAGGGCCAGUUCGGUCCCUAUAUCUGCCGUGGGCGCUGGAGAACUGAGGGGGCUGCUCACAGGCACGAAGGACCGAGUGGACGCAUCACUGGUGUUCGGGUUGUCAUGCCAAUGGCACUGCCCGGUAGCUAAAUGCGGAAAGAGAUAAGUGCUGAAAACGCAUCUAAGCACGAAACUUGCCCCGAAGAUGAGUUCUCCCUGAGACUUAGAGUCUCCUGAAGGAACGUUGAAGACGACGACGUUGAUGGAAGGCCGGGUGUGUAGCGCAGCGCGUGCGUUGGCUAACCGGUACUAAUGAACAUUGAGCAACGCA